rnacentral:rRNA from 1 species
CCUACGGGUGGCAGCAGUGGGGAAUAUUGCACAAUGGGCGCAAGCCUGACGCAGCGACGCCGCGUGAGUGAUGAAGGUCUUCGGAUCGUAAACCUCUUUCAGCAGGGAAGAAAGUUCACUGUGCUAAUCCCCCGUGAAUUGACGGUACCUGCAGAGGAAGCACCGGCUAACUCCGUGCCAGCAGCCGCGGUAAUACGGAGGGUGCGAGCGUUAAUCGGAAUUACUGGGCGUAAAGCGCUCGCAGGCGGUCUGUAAAGUCAAGGGUGAAAUCCCCGGGCUCAACGUGGGAACUGCCUUUGAAACUGGCAGGCUUGAGUGUGUGAGAGGGUGGUAGAAUUCCAGGUGUAGGGGUGAAAUGCGUAGAUAUCUGGAGGAACAUCAGUGGCGAAGGCGACUAUCUGGACGAAAACUGACGCUGAGGAGCGAAAGCGUGGGGAGCAAACAGGAGUAGAUACCCGAGUAGUC